rnacentral:rRNA from 1 species
UAGGGAAUCUUCCGCAAUGGGCGAAAGCCUGACGGAGCAACGCCGCGUGAGUGAUGAAGGUCUUCGGAUCGUAAAACUCUGUUAUUAGGGAAGAACAAAUGUGUAAGUAACUAUGCACGUCUUGACGGUACCUAAUCAGAAAGCCACGGCUAACUACGUGCCAGCAGCCGCGGUAAUACGUAGGUUGCAAGCGUUAUCCGGAAUUAUUGGGCGUAAAGCGCGCGUAGGCGGUUUUUUAAGUCUGAUGUGAAAGCCCACGGCUCAACCGUGGAGGGUCAUUGGAAACUGGAAAACUUGAGUGCAGAAGAGGAAAGUGGAAUUCCAUGUGGAGCGGUGAAAUGCGCAGAGAGAUGGAGGAACACCAGUGGCGAAGGCGACUUUCUGGUCUGUAACUGACGCUGAUGUGCGAAAGCGUGGGGAUCAAACAGG